CAACAGAAAGAUACUCUUCCACAGUACUAGAGACCAGAAAUCUAAAAUCACCAGGUUUAAAUCCAGGUCUCAGUAGGGCUGCACUUCACCUGGAAGCACUAGAGGAGCAUCCUUGCCUGGCCUCUUGCAGCUUUUGGGGCUGUCGGCAUUCCUUGGCAUACCUUGGCUAUGUCAUUCUGGUCCACAAGGUCCAGACCUCUCUCCUUUCAUGCUGUGAAUGUUGCAUCAUCUUUCCUUCUCUCUUGUCUCAGUGAUGCCAACAGUUCUAUCAUGUUCAUCAUGCGCAUCUCAGACCAUCUGAUGCCAUGCUGGAAUCCCUCUGCUUGCGAUUGGAUCAACCAUUAUUGAAUUUUAUAUAUUGAGCUCUCAUAUUUAAUCUUAUUUUAUUACCACAAUAAACCUUUGGUUAAGAUAUUCUUAUUCAUUCACAUUUUAA